GCACUCACUUUGGCAGCACAUAUACUAAAAUUUGAAUGAUACAGAGAAGAUUAGCAUGGCCCCUAUGUAAGAAUGACAUGCAAAUUUGUGAAGUGUCCCAUAUUUUU